UGGGGAAUAUUGCGCAAUGGGCGGAAGCCUGACGCAGCGACGCCGCGUGGGGGAUGACGGCCUUCGGGUUGUAAACCUCUUUCAGCAGGGACGAAGCGGAAGUGACGGUACCUGCAGAAGAAGCACCGGCCAACUACGUGCCAGCAGCCGCGGUAAUACGUAGGGUGCAAGCGUUGUCCGGAAUUAUUGGGCGUAAAGAGCUCGUAGGCGGUUUGUUGCGUCGGCUGUGAAAUCCCGAGGCUCAACCUCGGGUCUGCAGUCGAUACGAGCAAACUAGAGUGUUGCAGGGGAGACUGGAAUUCCUGGUGUAGCGGUGAAAUGCGCAGAUAUCAGGAGGAACACCGGUGGCGAAGGCGGGUCUCUGGGCAACAACUGACGCUGAGGAGCGAAAGCGUGGGGAGCGAACA
rnacentral:rRNA from 1 species